CUUCUUCUUCUUCUCCUCUCCUCUUUUUCUCUUCUUCUUCUUUCCUAAAACUAAACUAAACCUAAACCUAAAACUAAAAAAACAGAAAAAGGAAAAAACUAAAUCUAAACCUAAAACUAAACUAAAACUAAACCUAUAAACCUAAAACUAAUCCUAAAACUAAAACUAAAUCUAAACUAAACAUAAAAGCUAAAACUAAAAAAACAAAAAAAGGAAAAAAAGGAAGCAAAGACUCACCUGGGUGGAGGAGGGGGGCGGUGCGNNNNNNNNNNUGUGUCGGGGUGUUGGGUCGUGGUCUGGGUACCGUGUCGGGUCGGGUUUUUUUUCCUUUUCUUCUUCUUCCUCUUCUUCCUUUUUUUCCUUCUUCUUCUUCUUCUUCUUCUUCUUCCUCCUUUCCUUUUUCCUCUUCUUCUUCUCCUCCUCUCCUCUUUUUUCUUCUUCUUCUUCCUCUUCUUCUUUUUUCUUCUCCUCCUCCUCUUCUUCUUCUUCUCCUCUCCUCUUUUUCACUUCUUCUUCUUUCCUAAAAUUAAACUAAACCUAAACCUAAAACUAAAAAAAUAGAAAAAGGAAAAAACUAAAUCUAAACCUAAAACUAAACUAAAUCUAAACCUAAAACUAAACUAAAACUAAACCUAUAAACCUAAAACUAAUCCUAAAACUAAAACUAAAUCUAAACUAAACAUAAACCUAAAACUAAAAAAACAGAAAAAAGGAAAAAAAGGAAGCAGAGACUCACCUGGGUGGAGGAGCGGGGCGGUGCGGCCUGGGGCGGCGG
rnacentral:lncRNA from 1 species